AGUGAACGCUGGCGGUAGGCCUAACACAUGCAAGUCGAACGGCAGCACAGUAAGAGCUUGCUCUUACGGGUGGCGAGUGGCGGACGGGUGAGGAGUACAUCGGAAUCUACUUUUUCGUGGGGGAUAACGUAGGGAAACUUACGCUAAUACCGCAUACGACCUACGGGUGAAAGCAGGGGAUCUUCGGACCUUGCGCGAUUGAAUGAGCCGAUGUCGGAUUAGCUAGUUGGCGGGGUAAAGGCCCACCAAGGCGACGAUCCGUAGCUGGUCUGAGAGGAUGAUCAGCCACUCUGGAACUGAGACACGGUCCAGACUCCUACGGGAGGCAGCAGUGGGGAAUAUUGGACAAUGGGCGCAAGCCUGAUCCAGCCAUACCGCGUGGGUGAAGAAGGCCUUCGGGUUGUAAAGCCCUUUUGUUGGGAAAGAAAAGCAGCAGGUUAAUACCCCGCUGUUCUGACGGUACCCAAAGAAUAAGCACCGGCUAACUUCGUG
rnacentral:rRNA from 1 species